GACGAACGCUGGCGGCGUGCUUAACACAUGCAAGUCGAGCGGUAAGGCCCUUUCGGGGGUACACGAGCGGCGAACGGGUGAGUAACACGUGGGUGACCUGCCCUCAGCUCUGGGAUAAGCCUGGGAAACUGGGCCUAAUACUGGAUAUGACUCCACGGUGCAUGUCGUGGGGUGGAAAGCCUUGUGCGGCUGAGGAUGGGCCCGCGGCCUAUCAGCUUGUUGGUGGGGUGANGGCCUACCAAGGCGACGACGGGUAGCCGGCCUGAGAGGGCGACCGGCCACACUGGGACUGAGACACGGCCCAGACUCCUACGGGAGGCAGCAGUGGGGAAUCUUGCGCAAUGGGCGAAAGCCUGACGCAGCGACGCCGCGUGAGGGAUGACGGCCUGGUGUAAC
rnacentral:rRNA from 1 species